CACUUCAUUAUUUUUUGUUUUUUUUGCUCCACUCCACUAACAGAGUGCCAGUGUGAGUGAGUGAGUUAGUGCGUGUGUGUAUUUAAUUUAAAAUGUCUAUGUUUGUGUAUAUGUGUAGUGAUUUCUCAAAUGUGGGUCAAUAAGGAGGCCGGCCUUCAUAAUGUGCGUGUAUGAAUAAAGUUAAACGUUUCUAAACAACAAAAAUCACAACCAACUCCAACAAUAACAAAAUAUGUAACACAUUGGUAGCCUUCUCUCGCUUUUUAUCCAUGUGAAAAUCAUUAAAUUUUGUUGUUCUCGUUUCCUUUCUUCACUUUUAAGUGUUUAUGCGAGUGGUGCGAAAAUUUAAGAAAUUUUGGAUUUAUAUUAAAAUGGACUUUAACUACAAGCCAAAGCUUAAGAAAAUCUAACCCACAACAAAAAAGGAAUUACCAAAGGAAAUGAGGAACAUUUUAUAAAAUAGACUGUUCACAACAGAAAAAAUCUUAUUAUAAUAAAUAGUUUUAACUUAAACAAAACUGAAUAAUGUAAAACAACUUAACUAAAGCAACUUUAAACAUAUCAAAACAAUGUGCCAUAUAUAUAGCUAAUUAAGUAUCGAACUAUAGAGGAAAACUUAAAAAAAAAUAUAAAAUAACAACAAUUUAAUGUGGAGAAAAAUUAUAUUAACAUUAAUGCAACUACUAUUAAAGCAAAUUAUACACAUAUACAGCUUUUAAAUGUUCCGAGAAAGGGAAAUAAUUGGAAAAAUAUCAAGAACAGCAAUAGCACAAAAGCAGGAGCAGGAUAAAAACAACAACAAAUUAGCAACUACAUGAAAUUAGCAGCAAAGAAACAGGAAAUUGUAAUUAGAGUUUGAAAAAAUAAAAAUAAAGUUAACAACAUACAAAUACAGCAGUUAAAGUAGAAAACGAGAAAGUUACAGCUGCAGUUAGAAAAAAGCCAUAAUAUAUUUGCCCUGCAGCGAUGAUGAUGUUGAUUUUAAAACAAUUUAAUAUUUUAACAAAAGCAGCAGCGUGUUCAAUAAAUGCAAAGGCCACAUUUUAGACGAGAAUUUUGCAAAAAUAAUACAAAAGCGAAAAAAACGGUCUUUUAGCACUCUAAAACAAUCAAAAUUGUUCAAUUUAGCUGUUGCCAAUUUACUUUACCGUUUUUCCAGUUAUUUUUUUUGUUUCGUUUAUUUGUUUGUAUUUGAACAUGCCGGACAUUCAAUAAUGCAAUUUUCUUGCAACCGGAAAUAGUUGACGGAAGUUUAUAACGGCCAUUGACAAGCCAUAACAAUAUUGUGGCUCCUGCAUUUCGUUUUAGCUGCACUAACAAGCAUCGACUCAACUACCACCAC